rnacentral:ncRNA from 1 species
UUUCCCUCAGGAUAGCUGGUGUUCAGAGAUAUAAACAGUUUUAUCCGGUAAAGCGAAUGAUUAGAGGCCUUAGAGGCGAGACGUCCUCAACCUAUUCUCAAACUUUGAAUGGGUGAGAAGCCUGACUCGCCCAAACGGAGUCAAGCGUUGAAUGUACUUCUAUACUU